GGGCCGGUAGCUCAGCCAGGGUAGACCAGAAACUGGGCCUAAAGCGGGGGGCUCUUAACCCCUAGGUCGCGGGUUCAAAUCCCGCCCGGCCCACCA
rnacentral:tRNA from 1 species